AAAGGAUUUGGGUUAGGGUUAUGGGGUUGGGUUAGGGUUAAAGGUUAUGGGUUAAGGUUAUGGGGUUGGGUUCGAGUUAAGGUUUAUGGGGUUGGUUUGGGGUUAAAGGUUAUGGGUUAAGGUUAUGGGCUUGGGUUGGGGUUAAAGGUUAUGGGUUAGGGUUAUGGGGUUGGGUUUGGGUUAAGGGUUAUGGGGUUGGGUUGGGGUUAAAGGUUAUGGGAUAGGGUUAGAGGUGAUGGGAUAGGGUUAUGGGGUUGGGUUAGGGUUAAAGGUUAUGGGUUAGGGUUAUGGGGUUGGGUUUGGGUUAAGGGUUAUGGGGUUGGGUUGGGGUUAAGGGUUAUGGGUUAGGGUUAUGGGGUUGGGUUCGGGUUAAGGGUUAUGGGGUUGGGUUGGGGUUAAAGAUUAUGGGGUUGGGUUGGGGUAAAAGGAUUUGGGUUAGGGUUAUGGGGUUGGGUUAGGGUUAAAGGUUAUGGGUUAAUGUUAUGGGGUUCGGUUCGAGUUAAGGUUUAUGGGGUUCGGUUUGGGUUAAGGGUAAUGGGGUUGGGUUGCGGUUAAAGGUUAUGGGAUAGGGUUAUGGGGAUUAAAGGCUAAGGGUUAAGGGUUAUAGUUACGGGGCGGGUGUUAACGGUCAAAGGUUAUGGGGUUGGGGUUAAAGGUUAUGGGUUAGGGUUAAAGGUUAUGGGUUUGGUUUAUGGGUUACGGGGUUGCGUUGGGGUUAAAGGUGAAGGGUUAAAGAUAUGGGCUGGGUUAAAGGUUAAGGAUUAAAGGUUAAGGGUUAGGGUUAUGGGGCGGGGGUUAAAGGUCAAAGGUUAUGGGGUUAUGGGGUUGGGGUUAAAGGUUAUGGGUUAGGGUUAUGGGGUUGGGUUUGGUUUAAGGGUUAUGGGGUUGGGUUGGGGUGAAAGAUGAAGGGUUAAAGAUAUGGGCUGGGUUAAAGGUUAAAGGUUAAGG
rnacentral:lncRNA from 1 species